UACGUAGGGUGCAAGCGUUAAUCGGAAUUACUGGGCGUAAAGCGUGCGCAGGCGGUUUUGUAAGUCUGUCGUGAAAUCCCGGGCUCAACCUGGGAAUUGCGAUGGAGACUGCAAGGCUUGAAUCUGGCAGAGGGGGGUAGAAUUCCACGUGUAGCAGUGAAAUGCGUAGAGAUGUGGGGGAACACCGAUGGCGAAGGCAGCCCCCUGGGUCAAGAUUGACGCUCAUGCACGAAAGCGUGGGGAGCAAACAGG
rnacentral:rRNA from 1 species